rnacentral:rRNA from 2 species
UCAAGUUAUUAAGGGUGCAGGGCGGAUGCCUUGGCACUAGGAGCCGAUGAAGGACGUGAUAAGCUGCGAUAAGCUUCGGGGAGUUGCACGUAAACUUUGAUCCGAAGAUUUCCGAAUGAGGAAACUCACUUAGAGUAAUGUCUAAGUAUCAUUAAGUGAAUACAUAGCUUAAUGAGGGGAACUCAGGGAACUGAAACAUCUAAGUACCUGAAGGAAGAGAAAGAAAUUCGAUUCCGUAAGUAGCGGCGAGCGAACGCGGAUUAGCCCAAACCAAUAAAGUUUUCUUUACUGGGGUUGCGGACAUAUCAUAACGAAGAGGUAUCGUAAUUGAAGAGGUUUGGAAAGACCCACCACAGAAGGUAAUAGUCCUGUAUGUUAAACGAGAAGACUUCAGAUAUGAUCCAGAGUACCACGGGACACGUGAAACCCUGUGGGAAGCAGGAGGGACCACCCUCCAAGGCUAAAUACUACCUAGUGACCGAUAGCGUAUAGUACCGUGAGGGAAAGGUGAAAAGAACCCCGGGAGGGGAGUGAAAUAGAACCUGAAACCCUGCACUUACAAGCUGUGGAAGCACAUUUCUUGUGUGACCGCGUACUUUUUGUAGAACGGGCCAACGAGUUACGUUAAGUAGCAAGGUUAAGCACUUAAGGUGCGGAGCCGUAGCGAAAGCGAGUUUUAACUGAGCGUUCAGUUACUUGACGUAGACCCGAAACCGGGCGACCUACCCAUGAGCAGGAUGAAGCGAAAGUAAAAUUUCGUGGAGGUCCGAACCCACGAGCGUUGAAAAGCUCGGGGAUGACUUGUGGGUAGCGGUGAAAUUCCAAUCGAGCCCGGAGAUAGCUGGUUCUCCCCGAAAUAGCUUUAGGGCUAGCCUCAAGGUGAGAGAUACGGAGGUAGAGCACUGAAUGUCCUAGGGGGUAUUGCACCUACCGAAGACUAUCAAACUCCGAAUGCCGUCAUCUUAUACUUGGGAGUCAGACUGUGGGUGAUAAGAUUCAUAGUCGAAAGGGCAACAGCCCAGAUCGUCAGCUAAGGUCCCUAAAUGUAAGUUAAGUGGUAAAGGAUGUGGGAUUGCACAGACAACCAGGAUGUUGGCUUAGAAGCAGCCACUCAUUCAAAGAGUGCGUAAUAGCUCACUGGUCGAGUGAUCCUGCGCCGAAGAUUUCCGGGGCUAAAACUUACUACCGAAGCUACGGCAUCAGUAAUGAUGGGUAGGGGAGCUUCCCAUACGGGUUGAAGCAUGACCGUAAGGACAUGUGGACAGUAUGGGAGUGAGAAUGUUGGCAUGAGUAGCGAGAUGUGGGUGAGAAUCCCACAGGCCGUAAACCCAAGGUUUCCAGGGGAAGGUUCGUCCGCCCUGGGUUAGUCGGGACCUAAGCUGAGGCCGAAAGGCGUAGGUGAUGGACAACAGGUUGAUAUUCCUGUACUACCGAUAACCGUUUGAGAGAAGGGAUGACACAGUAGGAUAAGCUAAGCACACUGUUGGUUAUGUGUGCCCAAGCAUUGAGGCAGUCAAAGCAGGCAAAUCCGCUUUGAUAAUGCUGGGAUGUGAUGGGGAGCGAAAUUUAGUAGCGAAGUAGCUGAUUUCACACUGUCAAGAAAAGUCUCUAUCGAGGUUAAAGGUACCCGUACCGCAAACCGACACAGGUGGGUGAGGAGAGUAUCCUAAGGCCAGCGAGAGAACUGUUGUUAAGGAACUCGGCAAAAUGACCCCGUAACUUAGGGAUAAGGGGUGCCACCAUCCGGUGGCCGCAGAGAAUAGGCCCAAGCGACUGUUUACCAAAAACAUAGGUUUCUGCUAAGUCGCAAGACGAUGUAUAGGAGCUGACGCCUGCCCGGUGCUGGAAGGUUAAGGGGAUCUGUUAGAGCAAUCGAAGCAGUGAACUUAAGCCCCAGUAAACGGCGGCCGUAACUAUAACGGUCCUAAGGUAGCGAAAUUCCUUGUCGGGUAAGUUCCGACCCGCACGAAAGGCGUAACGAUUUGGGCACUGUCUCAACAACAGACUCGGUGAAAUUGUAAUUCCGGUGAAGAUGCCGGAUACCUGCGACAGGACGGAAAGACCCCAUGGAGCUUUACUGUAGCUUGACAUUGGGUCUUGGUACUACAUGUACAGGAUAGGUGGGAGGCUUUGAAACCAGGACGCCAGUUUUGGCGGAGCCAUCCUUGGGAUACCACCCUUGUAGUACUGGGACUCUAACCAUAGGCCAUGAAUCUGGUCUUGGGACACUGUCAGGUGGGCAGUUUGACUGGGGCGGUCGCCUCCCAAAAGGUAACGGAGGCGCUCAAAGGUUCUCUCAGUACGGUCGGAAAUCGUACGUAGAGUGUAAAGGCAAAAGAGAGCUUGAUUGCAAGACAUACAGGUCGAGCAAGGAUGAAAAUCGGACUUAGUGAUCCGGUGGUUCUGCGUGGAAGGGCCAUCGCUCAACGGAUAAAAGCUACCCUGGGGAUAACAGGCUUAUCUCCCCCAAGAGUCCACAUCGACGGGGAGGUUUGGCACCUCGAUGUCGGCUCAUCACAUCCUGGGGCUGUAGUAGGUCCCAAGGGUUGGGCUGUUCGCCCAUUAAAGUGGUACGCGAGCUGGGUUCAGAACGUCGUGAGACAGUUCGGUCCCUAUCCGUCGCAGGCGUAGGAAAUUUGAGAAGACCUGUCCUUAGUACGAGAGGACCGGGAUGGACGUACCUCUGGUGUACCAGUUGUUCUGCCAAGGGCAUGGCUGGGUAGCUAUGUACGGAAUGGAUAAGCGCUGAAAGCAUCUAAGCGCGAAGCCAACUUCAAGAUAAGAUUUCCCACCGCAAGGGUAAGACCCCAGAAAGACUAUCUGGUUGAUAGGUCGAAGGUGUAAGUGCAGCAAUGUAUUUAGCUUAUCGAUACUAAUAGGUCGAGGACUUGACCAA